AGAGUUUGAUCCUGGCUCAGGACGAACGCUGGCGGCGUGCCUAACACAUGCAAGUCGAGCGAUGAAAAUUGGAGCGUUCCCUUCGGGGAACAAUCUGAUUGGAUUAGCGGCGGACGGGUGAGUAACACGUGAGUAACCUGCCGUACACAUUGGGAUAGCCUCGGGAAACUGGGAUUAAUACCAAAUGAAACAUACAGAUAGCAUUAUCUAAAUGUCAAAGAUUUUAUCGGUGUACGAUGGACUCGCGUCUGAUUAGCUAGUUGGUAAGGUAACGGCUUACCAAGGCGAUGAUCAGUAGCCGGCCUGAGAGGGUGAUCGGCCACAUUGGGACUGAGACACGGCCCAAACUCCUACGGGAGGCAGCAGUGGGGAAUAUUGCACAAUGGAGGAAACUCUGAUGCAGCGACGCCGCGUGAGCGAAGAAGGGAUUCGUCUCGUAAAGCUCUGUCCUAUGGGAAGAUAAUGACGGUACCAUAGAAGAAAGCCCCGGCUAACUACGUGCCAGCAGCCGCGGUAAUACGUAGGGGGCUAGCGUUGUCCGGAAUCAUUGGGCGUAAAGGGUUCGUAGGCGGUAAUACAUGUCAGAUGUGAAAUCUUGUGGCUUAACCACAUCAAGCAUCUGAAACUGUAUAACUUGAGUGAAGGAGAGGUAAGUGGAAUUCCUAGUGUAGCGGUGAAAUGCGUAGAUAUUAGGAAGAAUACCAGUAGCGAAGGCGACUUACUGGCCUUUAACUGACGCUGAGGAACGAAAGCGUGGGUAGCAAACAGGAUUAGAUACCCUGGUAGUCCACGCCGUAAACGAUGAGUGCUAGGUGUCGGGUGUCAAAGCUCGGUGCCGCAGUUAACGCAAUAAGCACUCCGCCUGGGGAGUACGUACGC
rnacentral:rRNA from 1 species